rnacentral:misc_RNA from 1 species
CUGAGGUAACUAUUCUUAUAAAUUGAAUGGUCCUCUUUACUUCCAUCACGCAUCAUAUUAAUUGCAGCAACCUCAAUUAUAUUGGCCAGCUCAGCACCAACCAUUCCAUCUGUUAUACUAGCAACAGCCAUGUAGUCCACAUCAUCAGCCAUAGGCUUUUUACGAGCAUGAACCUUCAGAAUUUCCAUGCGGCCUAUAAGGCCAGGUUUGGGUAUAAAAAUUUUUCUAUCAAAGCGUCCAGGUCUCACUAGUGCCGGAUCUAGAAUAUCGGGUCUAUUGGUGGAAGCAAUAGUUAUCACUUCCCCUCUUCCUUCAAACCCAUCCAAGCAUACAAGAAGCUGAUUAAGAGUAGCAUCACGUUCUUGCCCACCAGAACCUUUUAUCAACCCACGCUCCCUUCCAACAGCAUCCAGUUCAUCAAUAAAGACAACAGAUGGAGCAUUUUCCUUUGCUUCUUGGUAAAGUGAUCUGACACGAGAAGCACCAACUCCUACAUAUAUUUCCACAAACUGAGAUGCAGAAAUGGAGAAGAAGUUCACACCCGCCUCACCAGCUACAGCUUUUGCCAGUAAAGUUUUCC